CGGCGUGNNUAUACAUGCAAGUCAAGCGAACUGAUUCGAAGCUUGCUUCUAUGACGUUAGCGGGGAAGGGUGAGUAACACGUGGGCAACCUGCCUGUAAGACUGGGAUAACUUCGGGAAACCGAAGCUAAUACCGGAUAGGAUCUUCUCCUUCAUGGGAGAUGAUUGAAAGAUCCCCUUCGGCUAUCACUUACAGAUGGGCCCGCGGUGCCUUAGCUAGUUGGUGAGGCUACGGCUCACC
rnacentral:rRNA from 1 species